GUGAAUCAUCAAAUUUUUGAACGCAAAUUGCGCCUUUUUCGGAAGGCAUGUCUGUUUGAGGGCACCAUUUAACAAAUAAUGUGCAUUUCGUGCGCACGCGUUGGUGCGUUUCCAAUAUAUGUGUUUUUUUUUUUGUGGCAUAUUAAAAAGAGCGAGACGUUUUUUUUGUGCUCGUGUAUAGUAAUAUUUUUUUUUGUUGGGGUUGUGAAGCG
rnacentral:misc_RNA from 1 species